AGGGCUUUAUCUUAAUUAAAAGAAUCUGGGUUGCAUUCAGAAGAUGUAGAUUAAUAGUCUGCAAGCCCUA
rnacentral:tRNA from 1 species